UUUAAGCAAAAACAUCAGGUCAAAAAGAGAAAGCUUUUCUCUCUUUUUAUUUGAAUAGUUCCGUGCUGUAUUGGUAGCACGGUGAUGAAGCUUUUCCUUUGCUAUUCCAUGCACAAAUGGGCAGAAGCUGGCAUCUCCAUCCUGAGUUAUGAAUCCUCCUGAGUUAGGUUUCUGCCAUAGAUCCGCUGGCACUCCCCCUUGGAGGUGUCUCUUUCUUCUCGCUGACAAAGAGCCUGAUUGUCAAAUUUAGGGCCAAAACUAGGUCUAAAGCCAAAUGAGACAAAUUAAAGCAUUAAUCAUUUACAUUAAGCAGCUGAAACAGUUAUGUGAAUUCCCUGUGAGCAGCUCCCUGUUUGACAGAGCAGUAUCUGUGAGCCUCCAUACUUCCCACAUCUCAGGCAGGAGCUCUGCUUCUGAUUUCAAGCCAGGUGGAUCUUGAGACAGGAAAAACAGGCUCAGAAGUCACUUGGAGGUCUCCGAAAACUGCUAAAAUUGUUCUUUGACAUUUCUGCUUGGAGCUGCUGAAACUGUGGAAUAGUGAGGCAGUGCGUGAAUAAGUUACUGGGUCUACAGACAGGAGGUUGUUAUCACAAAAUGCUGCCCUGCUGGGGGAACAGUUCCUGGGUGCUUCCUCCAGUGUGUGAAGAAUCCAAAGGAAAAGCUCAAACUGGCAAAACCAUCUUUGUGGACAACUGGGCAUCGAGGCAGAAAUCUUGCAGAUUUCAUGUGGAACUGUGCUUGCCCAAAAUGCCAGAGAGAGAAAUUGUCCCUCACCAUCCUUCCUGCCAUGUGUGCCUCCCCCAAAAGUACCAUGAAGUGGUCAGACACCAAGACAUCUGCAGGGAGAUACCAAGGGCAGGAUUUGCAAGACUGGAAGGAAAAGCAACUUUGGCAUCCAGACUGUUCCCUGGGGCUAGGUACCUGCCUCUCCCUGCAAAGAGGUGCUAAAAAGAUGAUGGCGCAUCUGGUAACGAACUUGGGUUCAAAGGCACUUGAGCAUACAGCUGUGCUUUUCCUUUUUGGCCUGUUCUGUUUUUUUUUCUCUUCUGGAAACAGAAUUGCACCCUAGCUACAGCAGGGAAGCCCUAGAUGUUUUUUUUUUCUCUUUUCCUCCUUAUUAACCCAAAACAAUGCUCCUUUCCAUCAC
rnacentral:lncRNA from 1 species